rnacentral:rRNA from 1 species
GACGAACGCUGGCGGCGUGCUUAACACAUGCAAGUCGUACGGUAAGGCCCUUUCGGGGGUACACGAGUGGCGAACGGGUGAGUAACACGUGAGUAACCUGCCCACAACUUUGGGAUAACGCUAGGAAACUGGUGCUAAUACUGGAUAUGUGCUCCUGCUGCAUGGUGGGGGUUGGAAAGCUCCGGCGGUUGUGGAUGGACUCGCGGCCUAUCAGCUUGUUGGUGGGGUAGUGGCCUACCAAGGCGGCGACGGGUAGCCGGCCUGAGAGGGUGACCGGCCACAUUGGGACUGAGAUACGGCCCAGACUCCUACGGGAGGCAGCAGUGGGGAAUAUUGCACAAUGGGCGCAAGCCUGAUGCAGCAACGCCGCGUGCGGGAUGACGGCCUUCGGGUUGUAAACCGCUUUCAGCGGGGACGAAGCUUUUUGUGACGGUACCUGCAGAAGAAGCACCGGCUAACUACGUG